rnacentral:lncRNA from 1 species
GAUUUUUAUUUUAAAUUUAAAUUUAAAUUUUUAAACAUUAUAAUUUUAAAAUUAUAAAUUUUAAAGUUUAAUUUUUAAAUUUAAUAUUUUUAAAUUUUAAAUUUUAAAUUUGUUACUUUUAGUUUUUAAAUUUUAAAUUUGCUAUUCUAUAUCUUUGAAAUUUAAAUUUAGUCUUAAAUUUAAAAUUUGAUAUUUAAAAUUAAAAAUUUGAAAAUUAAAAUUUUAAAUUUUAAUUUCAAAUUUUAAAAUUUAAAAGUUAAAAUUUUUAAUUUUUAUUUUAAAAUUAUAAGUUUAAAAUUUAAAAAUUUAAAUUCAAUUAUAAGGGUAAUAUCAUUAUUUUCUAUUUGUAACUAACAACUAUUCCUCUUAUUCCUAAUAACCAUCCAAACACAAUUUUUUUAUUUCCAGCUUAUACUCACAUUUUCAUCCAAACAAAAAAAUACCUUUGUUUUUAUAAAAAUUCAUACUUGUAUCUAUCCCCGGUAUAACUAGUUCCUACUAAUUCCCGAACCAAACGAAGCCAGGAGCACAAGACUGCUGUGCUCAUAAUAGUACAAUAGUUCUACUCUAUAUAUAGAGAGUUGGGCUACUGUGGCCCUUGUACUCCUAAGUUUUUAACUAUCUAUUAAUUUUGAUGUAUGGUUAGGAUUAAUAUUUCAUUUCUUUCAUUUCUGUUUUAAUUUUUCUUCUUUUGAAUUUCUCUCCAAUUUCUCUUCUCUUUCUCAUCUUAACCAUCUAUUAUAAUUGAUAGAUGGUUUGAAACUUAGCAGCACAAAAAUUGUUGUGCUUCUAAUAGUAUAAUAGUUCUACUCUAUAUGAGUAUAGAACUCUUCAUACUCAUAAAUUGGUGUGUGUGUGUGUAUAUAUAUAUAUAGAAUUGAGCUCCUAUGCUUUUAAAAAGUACAAAUCAUUGGUGCUUGUAAGUUUUCGGCCCUUGGAUUAAGGGAUGUGCGGUUAGGAUGAUAUGGGCCUCCUAGGGUUGAGUGGGUGGUUGGUUGAAUAGUAUAAUCUAACGGGUGAAAAUGAUUAAAGAUGUAAAUCUAACGGUAAAAAAUUUACAAGCACCAUAGCCGAAUUAUAUAUAUAUAUAUAUAUAUAUAUAUAUAUAUAUAUAUAUAUAUAUAUAUAUAUAUAUAUAUAUAUAUAUAUAUAUAUAAUGUACAGCUACUAUGCUAUCGGAAGCAUAGAAGAUCUGAUGCUUCCAACUUUUUGACCAUUGAAUAAAAAAUUAUACGGUUUGGAUGAUUGCGGUUCCCCCAGGGUUUAGUAUCCCUAGGGUUGAGUGGUCUCCACAG